UGCCGGAUGGCUCAAUUGGAAAAGCAUCGCACUGCGAAGCAGAAGUGACCAACACGGCGCGGGUUCGAUCCCCGCCUCGUAC